CCGCAGCUGGACUGGUANGAGWACCCCUCSKUAAACCUGCCUGUAAGACUGGGAUAACUUCGGGAAACCGGAGCUAAUACCGGAUAAUCCUUUUCCUCUCAUGAGGAAAAGCUGAAAGACGGUUUACGCUGUCACUUACAGAUGGGCCCGCGGCGCAUUAGCUAGUUGGUGAGGUAACGGCUCACCAAGGCGACGAUGCGUAGCCGACCUGAGAGGGUGAUCGGCCACACUGGGACUGAGACACGGCCCAGACUCCUACGGGAGGCAGCAGUAGGGAAUCUUCCGCAAUGGACGAAAGUCUGACGGAGCAACGCCGCGUGAGUGAUGAAGGUUUUCGGAUCGUAAAACUCUGUUGUUAGGGAAGAACAAGUACAAGAGUAACUGCUUGUACCUUGACGGUACCUAACCAGAAAGCCACGGCUAACUACGUGCCAGCAGCCGCGGUAAUACGUAGGUGGCAAGCGUUGUCCGGAAUUAUUGGGCGUAAAGCGCGCGCAGGCGGUCCUUUAAGUCUGAUGUGAAAGCC
rnacentral:rRNA from 2 species